AGGAUUAACGCUGGCGGCGUGCAUGAAACAUGCAAGUCGAGCGCGGCGCGUGGCUUCGGUCACGCGUCUAGCGGCGCACGGGUGAGUAACACGUGAGCAACCUACCUUCGAGUUCGGGAUAGCCCUGGGAAACCAGGAUUAAUACCGGAUGUGGUCACAACGGGACAUCCCGAUGUGAAAAAAGGCGUAAGCCGCUCGAUGACGGGCUCGCGGCCUAUUAGCUUGUUGGUGGGGUAACGGCCUACCAAGGCGACGACGGGUA
rnacentral:rRNA from 1 species